ACGUAGGGUGCGAGCGUUAAUCGGAAUUACUGGGCGUAAAGCGCGCGUAUGCGGCUGGGUAAGUCGGAUGUGAAAGCCCCGAGCUUAACUUGGGAACUGCAUUCGAUACUGCCCGACUAGAGUAUGGUAGAGGAAAGCGGAAUUCCCGGUGUAGCGGUGAAAUGCGUAGAUAUCGGGAGGAACAUCAGUGGCGAAGGCGGCUUUCUGGACCAAUACUGACGCUGAGGCGCGAAAGCGUGGGUAGCAAACGGGAUUAGAUACCCUGGUAGUCCACGCCCUAAACUAUGUCAACUAGCCGUUGGGCUCGUUUAGGAACUCAGUGGCGCAGCUAACGCGAUAAGUUGACCGCCUGGGGAGUACGGCCGCAAGGUUA
rnacentral:rRNA from 1 species